rnacentral:rRNA from 1 species
UACGAAGGGGGCUAGCGUUGUUCGGAUUUACUGGGCGUAAAGCGCGUGUAGGCGGGUCGCUAAGUUGGGGGUGAAAUCCCGAGGCUCAACCUCGGAACUGCCUUCAAAACUGGCGACCUGGAGCAAGAUAGAGGCGAGUGGAAUUGCGAGUGUAGAGGUGAAAUUCGUAGAUAUUCGCAGGAACACCAGUGGCGAAGGCGACUCGCUGGAUCUUUGCUGACGCUGAGACGCGAAAGCGUGGGGAGCAAACAGG